rnacentral:rRNA from 1 species
UACGAGGGGGGCAAGUGUUGUUCGGAAUCACUGGGCGUAAAGGGAGCGUAGGCGGAUGUUUAAGUCGGGAGUUUAAAACCGGGGCCCAACCCCGGAGCGGCUCCCGAAACUGGGCAUCUUGAAUAGGUCAGAGGCUGGUGGAAUUGGAGGUGUAGCGGUGGAAUGCGCAGAUAUUGGGAAGAACACCAGUGGCGAAGGCGGUUCUCUGGGACGGUACUGACGCUGAGACGCGAAAGCGUGGGGAGCGAACAGG